rnacentral:rRNA from 1 species
AUGGACGCUGGCGGCGUGCCUAAUACAUGCAAGUCGAGCGAACGGACGAGAAGCUUGCUUCUCUGAUGUUAGCGGCGGACGGGUGAGUAACACGUGGAUAACCUACCUAUAAGACUGGGAUAACUUCGGGAAACCGGAGCUAAUACCGGAUAAUAUUUUGAACCGCAUGGUUCAAAAGUGAAAGACGGUCUUGCUGUCACUUAUAGAUGGAUCCGCGCUGCAUUAGCUAGUUGGUAAGGUAACGGCUUACCAAGGCAACGUUGCAUAGCCGACCUGAGAGGGUGAUCGGCCACACUGGAACUGAGACACGGUCCAGACUCCUACGGGAGGCAGCAGUAGGGAAUCUUCCGCAAUGGGCGAAAGCCUGACGGAGCAACGCCGCGUGAGUGAUGAAGGUCUUCGGAUCGUAAAACUCUGUUAUUAGGGAAGAACAUAUGUGUAAGUAACUGUGCACAUCUUGACGGUACCUAAUCAGAAAGCCACGGCUAACUACGUG